CAUCCACAAUGGUGCAAUGCACAUGGAUUCUGGCUCUGGUAAUGGACAGGGAGCAGUCCCUGGAGACAGGGCCACACUUACCCUAAUGACAGUCUCCGGGGUCUUCAUCCAGCCUGAGCACCCUGCAUGGAGCCCGGCCUGAAGUGCUCCAGCUCAGAGGAGGAGGAGGGAGAGGCAGGCACCUUCUGUCCAACAGGAAGAAGGAACCCAAGACUGAAGACCCACAGCUAAAGAUGAUGAAACUAAGACUAAGAGAAGUUCACCAACUUGUCCAAGGCCACAACUCACAGUGGAAUCUGAACUCGGCUCCAUAUGACUCGAGUCCCACGAUCUUUUCAUGUUCCCUGCUACCUCUCCCUCUCAGCCUGCUACAGUGAUGGGACAUUUAUGAACUUGCAAAAUGCUUUCUCACAAAUGAUCUUAUUUGAUUUUCACAAACAUGUGUGAGGCAGGUAUAAGUUCUGUUCUAUGGAUGAACAAUUGGUCUUCAGGUAAAGAACAACUUGUCCAAGGUCAAAUAGCUGAUAAGUAUCUGGGAACUGGGACCUAAAUACACAUUUGAUGAGUAACUUUGCCACAAUAUCUUAUCUGGACACUUGAAAACAUACUCCAGCCCUGUCAUAAACCCAGGAGAAUUUGAAGAUGUCCCUCCCUACUUACAGCCUGGUUUCAUGAUCACUAGAAACUUGUUUAACUAAACUCCUUUCUGUUCUCAGGAUGGCUCAGGGGACUGAGCUGGAAAAAAAAAGGCCUCAGAAGGGAAAUGGAGGCCCAGAAAGCUUUGGUGAGCAGCUCGAGAUUACAUAGGACAUGGAGACCAGAACUCAUGUUUCCUCAAAUAGUUCAUUUCCAGGGGGCUUUUAGGCUAUUAAUUCUAUAAUCUGCCCUCUGUCUGCCUCAGGGACUCUCCCCUCCAACCCCCAUUUGGACCAUGAACUGAUGCCAAUGGCACCAAGGAAGCAUCAACUGAUACUGGGCAGAAGGGCAGGGCAGUGGCCCCUGGGAGUCUUCAUGGCUCCUCUGGCAGAAAGUACCUGGAGGCAUCAGCUCAUGGACCUGGAGCAUAUCAGCAAGGAACAGAGAUAAACUGUACCGCAUCACCACCCUGGCACUACUCAUGAGAAACUUUCCCAACCAUUAUGCUUGGUUGACUUGGCCGGAAAGGAGUUAACACACAACAUGUGAGGAGUACACUGAGUAGGGAGCUGUGUUCUUGGGUGACCUGUGGGUAUCUGGGCCCAUUUAAUGCACCAAGUCUUCAAAUAGUGGCAGCCAUCACAGGCUCUUCUGUCUGCUUGUGCAUGCACAUGGGGAUCCUUCACUUGGUGGCUUCUCCCCAAGCAAACGUUUUUAGCCCAUCCUGGAUUCUCCUCACUGCCCUCUCUACCCUGGGAAAUGCAACCCACAUUGUCCAAGUCAGACCUAAUUAGACCAGCAAAUCAGUGGCACUCAAGUCAUCACAGCACACUCCAAGCACAAGAGGAAAUGCUGUGUAGGUUAUCCUGUGCGCUGCUUGUUGUGUCUGUUUGUGUUUCCUUGGAUUAUCCAUUCUCUGCUCCCUGCCUUCCAUUACCUCACUAAUGGAGAGGCAGGAUGCAGUCCUCCACAGGCCAGCAUUCAUCUUCCCAGUCUGACCCUCUCGGAGGCUAUUACGCUGCUGUCGCAAGAUCGACGAGGGGAGAAAAAUGAAAACAGUGCACAGGGAACAAUGGAGGGCAAAUGGGACUCUUUUAGAACCGGAUCCACUGAUACGUCAGGCCAAGGAGAAAUGACCACAAGCUCUGAAAAGUGGAGAGCUCCCCCAGACGGCAAAGCCAGCUGCCCCGGCACCUCUGCACAGUCCUUUUCUGAAUCUGCCCCUCACCGUGCUCCCCACCUGCACGCCGUCCUCAGAACAGAUUGCCUUGCCUGACCUCCUGAGGCCGACGGAGAUGGUGAUGUGACCUCCUUUGCCCUCCAUCACUGUGCCUCCCACACCUCUGCGCAGCUCGUUCAUUCUCUCUCCCUCCACUCUGACUUAAGGGAAGAGGAAUUUUAAAACCAACCUCAUCCCUUCCCACCUCCUCAGGAAACUCACUCCUUUGCUUACCCUCUCUCCACUUUUAAAAAUAACGAUAUAAAUGCCCCUUUCGCCUGUGAUUCCUUCUGAGCACAGACCCUUCUUGCUUAAGCCCCUGUGAGUUAAUUUUCAGUCUCACAGCUCUUCUCAAUCCAACAGUAUUUUUGCAGCUUUCAGCCUCGGGAAGCUCUUGAUGGGCUCGUCUGCCACGCUACCAACUUCCUUCUUGGAAGUCCCUCCCCGUCUUCUGCGUCUGCCUUGUGCCCAUUCUCCCUCUGGGGUCAGUCCUCUGCCGUCCGGCAGGCCCAUCCUCCACUCCCCAUUAUGGUCCCUCUUUACAGCCUCAUCUGGUCUCUCAUUACACUCUGCAGUAGCCUGAUGGUCAGCUCUUUAAUCAAAUCCCAUUCAGUUCCCUAAAGUACCAAAGUUCCCCAUGAGUCCCUAGAACAGUGUCCUAAAUCAGACACGUCACCCUCUCUACCCCAAUACUGGCCCCACU
rnacentral:lncRNA from 1 species